AGUGGAAUUAUGAAGAUGUAAAGGCUAUUCCUGGACUCACUGAUACUACUGUGCCUCAUCGCCUGGGGCCCAAAAGAGCCAGCAGAAUCCGCAAACUUUUCAGUCUCUCUAAAGAAGAUGAUGUCUGCCAGUAUGUUGUGAGAAAGCCCCUAAACAAAGAAGGUAAGAAACAUAGAACCAAAGCGCCUAAGAUUCAGCAUCUUGUUACUCCACGUG